rnacentral:rRNA from 1 species
CAGCAGCCGCGGUAAUACAGAGGAUUUAAGCGUUAUCCGGAAUGAUUGGGCGUAAAGCGUCUGUAGGUGGCUUUUCAAGUCCGUCGUCGAAUCCCAGGGCUCAACCCUGGACAGGCGGUGGAAACUACCAAGUUGGAGUACGGUAGGGGCAGAGGGAAUUUCCGGUGGAGCGGUGAAAUGCGUUGAGAUCGGAAAGAACACCAACGGCGAUAGCACUCUGCUGGGCCGACGCUGACACUGAGAGACGAACGCUAGGGGAGAAAAUGGGAUUAGAUACCCCGGUAGUCCCUGUCUCUUAUAC